rnacentral:rRNA from 1 species
UCGAAAGACGGACUUAGUGAUCCGGUGGUUCCGCAUGGAAGGGCCAUCGCUCAACGGAUAAAAGCUACCCCGGGGAUAACAGGCUUAUCUCCCCCAAGAGUUCACAUCGACGGGGAGGUUUGGCACCUCGAUGUCGGCUCAUCGCAUCCUGGGGCUGUAGUCGGUCCCAAGGGUUGGGCUGUUCGCCCAUUAAAGCGGUACGCGAGCUGGGUUCAGAACGUCGUGAGACAGUUCGGUCCCUAUCCGUCGUGGGCGUAGGAAAUUUGAGAGGAGCUGUCCUUAGUACGAGAGGACCGGGAUGGACAUACCUCUGGUGUACCAGUUGUCGUGCCAACGGCAUAGCUGGGUAGCUAUGUGUGGACGGGAUAAGUGCUGAAAGCAUCUAAGCAUGAAGCCCCCCUCAAGAUGAGAUUUCCCAACUUCGGUUAUAAGAUCCCUCAAAGAUGAUGAGGUUAAUAGGUUCGAGGUGGAAGCAUGGUGACAUGUGGAGCU